AACGAACGCUGGCGGCAUGCCUAACACAUGCAAGUCGAACGGGGUCGGGACUUCGGUUCCGGCUUACGUGGCGCACGGGUGAGUAACACGUGGGAAUCUGCCCAUCUAUGGGGAAUAACUGCGGGAAACUGCAGCUAAUACCGCAUACGCCCUUCGGGGGGAAAGGCUUCGGCCGUAGAUGGAUGAGCCCGCGUCCGAUUAGCUAGUUGGUGGGGUAACGGCCUACCAAGGCGACGAUCGGUAGCUGGUCUGAGAGGAUGAUCAGCCACACUGGGGACUGAGACACGGCCCAGACUCCUACGGAGCAGCAGUGGGGAAUAUUGGACAAUGGCGAAAGCCUGAUCCAGCAAUGCCGCGUGAGUGAUGAAGGUCUUCGGAUUGU
rnacentral:rRNA from 1 species